rnacentral:rRNA from 1 species
UACGGAGGGUGCGAGCGUUGUCCGGAAUCACUGGGCGUAAAGGGCGCGUAGGCGGCGCGGGAAGUCCGUGGUGAAAGCCCGAGGCUCAACUUCGGGUCGGCCAUGGAUACUCCUGGGCUCGAGCACUGUAGAGGCAGGUGGAAUUCCGGGUGUAGCGGUGGAAUGCGUAGAGAUCCGGAAGAACACCCGUGGCGAAGGCGGCUCUCUGGGACGGUACUGACGCUGAGACGCGAAAGCGUGGGGAGCGAACAGG